rnacentral:rRNA from 1 species
CCCUUAGACGUUCUGGGCCGCACGCGCGCUACACUGACCAGUGCAACAAGCAUCCGUCCUUGGCCGACAGGCCCGGGCAAUCUUUGAACGCUGGUCGUGAUGGGGAUAGACUUUUGCAAUUUUUGGUCUUCAACGAGGAAUUCCUAGUAAACGCAAGUCAUCAACUUGCAUUGAUUACGUCCCUGCCCUUUGUACACACCGCCCGUCGCACCUACCGAUUGAAUGGUCCGGUGAAGCCUCCGGAUUGGCGCGCACCCCGGUGCCGCCGAGAAGUUGGCUAAACCUUACCAUUUAGAGGAAGGUGAAGUCGUAGCA